UGAACGCUGGCGGCGUGCUUAACACAUGCAAGUCGAACGGGAAGUCUGGUGCUUGCACUAGAUGGAGAGUGGCGGACGGGUGAGUGAUACAUAGGUGAUCUGCCUUGAGGUGAGGGAUAACCGUGGGAAACCACGGCUAAUACCUCAGAUGUUCAAAUGUUUAGAAAGUUUGAACUAAAACUCCGGUGCCUCAAGAUGAGCCUGUGGGCUAUCAGCUAGUUGGUGAGGUAACGGCUCACCAAGGCUAAGACGGCUAGGGGACGUGAGAGCGUGAUCCCCCACAAUGGAACUGAGACACGGUCCAUACUCCUACGGGAGGCAGCAGUGAGGAAUAUUGCGCAAUAGGGGAAACCCUGACGCAGCAACGCCGCGUGGGUGAUGAAGGCCUUCGGGUUGUAAAGCCCUUUUUUAGGGAAAGAUAGUGACGGUACCCUAAGAAUAAGUCCCGGCUAACUACGUGCCAGCAGCCGCGGUAAAACGUAGGGGGCGAGCGUUAUCCGGAUUUAUUGGGCGUAAAGAGCACGUAGGUGGUAUCAUAAGUUGGGUGUGAAAGCUCCUGGCUUAACUAGGAGAGGUCACUCAAUACUGUGGUGCUUGAGGUUGGAAUAGGAGAGCAGAAUUCCCGGUGUAGUGGUGGAAUGCGUAGAUAUCGGGAGGAAUACCAGUGGCGAAAGCGGCUCUCUAGUCCACACCUGACACUGAGGUGCGAAAGCGUGGGGAGCGAACGGGAUUAGAUACCCCGGUAGUCCACGCCGUAAACGAUGGAUACUAGGCGUAGGAGGCAUCUUACCCCUUCUGUGCCAAAGUUAACGCGUUAAGUAUCCCGCCUGGGGAUUACGGCCGCAAGGCUAAAACUCAAAGGAAUUGACGGGGGCCCGCACAAGCAGCGGAGCGUGUGGUUUAAUUCGAUGAUACGCGAAGAACCUUACCUAGGUUUGACAUAUACAUGGUAGUGAAGUGAAAGCGGAACGACCCUUCGGGGAGUGUAUACAGGUGCUGCAUGGCUGUCGUCAGCUCGUGUCGUGAGAUGUUGGGUUAAGUCCCGCAACGAGCGCAACCCUCGUCGCUAGUUACAAGUGUCUAGCGAGACUGCCGGUUUCAACCCGGAGGAAGGUGAGGAUGACGUCAAGUCAGCAUGGUCUUUAUAUCUAGGGCUACACACACGCUACAAUGGCCAGUACAAUGGGUUGCUACACUGCGAAGUGAAGCUAAUCUCUAAAGCUGGUCUCAGUUCGGAUUGUAGUCUGCAACUCGACUACAUGAAGGCGGAGUUGCUAGUAACUGCGCGUCAGCAACAGUGCAGUGAAUGCGUUCUCGGGCCUUGUACACACCGCCCGUCACAUCAUGGGAGUCGGUAACACCUGAAGUCGGCUGCUUAACCGAAAGGA
rnacentral:rRNA from 1 species